rnacentral:rRNA from 1 species
UACGGGGGGAGCAAGCGUUGUCCGGAAUCAUUGGGCGUAAAGAGCGUGUAGGCGGCUCGGUAAGUCCGCUGUAAAAGUCAAAGGCUCAACCUUUGAAUGUCAGUGGAUACUGCCGGGCUAGAGUCCGGAAGAGGCGAGUGGAACUCCUGGUGUAGCGGUGGAAUGCGCAGAUAUCAGGAAGAACACCAACGGCGAAGGCAGCUCGCUGGGACGGUACUGACGCUGAGACGCGAAAGCGUGGGGAGCGAACAGG